AUGUACAUUAGAAGGCAGACCGUGGUCACUGAGAUAGAAGGAGAUAUUGAUUCGAUUCCCCUCUACAGCUUUGAGUUUGUUAAUUUUAAGGAUCUCCGUUCUAGGUGUGGCGACAACAGCUUAUUGACAGAUGUUCUGGGACACGUAGUAGGUGUCGGGGAGCUACAGGAGGUCACAAAAAGAUCCCGCGUUAUAGAAAUUUGCAAUGCAAGCAUUCGGGACUUGAGAGGAAAGGUACUGGGUGUCACACUGUAUGGUGAUAUUGCUUCUGGUUUUGCUGAGGAUAUGGCCGAGAAAGGCAAAGACGCCUCAGUUGUUGCUGUCUUUGCAGGGAUAUCUGUUGAUUCCUCGUCAUCGGUUUGCUCUACAACGUCUUCAGAGUACUAUCUGGAUUUGGAAAUACCAGCGGUGCAAGAAUUCCAUGCGAAUUUGCGCAUUCAGCAAGCAAACCCUGUUCCGAAGAAAACACCAGCUCAGAAGUUAGCCGAGAGUUGGCGAACAAUCAAACAGCUAAAGAGCCUUGAUCCGGAAGAGUAUGACGAGGAUACCACGUUUUUGUGCAGAGUCUCCCUGAUAGACAUAGAUUGCAGCAAUGGCUGGUGCUACCUUGGAUGCGACACCUGCCAGAAGUCCAUGUACGGGGCCCCAAGGAAAUACAAGUGCGCCCGAUGUGGUCCGAUCAAGAGGCCAGUUCAGUGGUACAAGCUGAAGGCGAAGGUGGAAGAUGCCACCGGCACAAUGGACCUGAUUAUCUUCUGCGAGGUGGCGGAGGAGCUGGUCGGUGUCUCUGCAGAGGAGCUCGUCGAUAACAUCGAGGAAGACGACGAGUGGUACGCCCUGCCAGAGGAAAUUGAGGAUCUUAUUGGCUCGACACACACCUUCCAGGUUUUCGACAAGUACGUGAACGGGAGCUUCGCGGUGAGGUCGAUCAUGGACGAUGCUAGCGUCCCACCCCCUGCUGGAGCCGCUAGUGAUUGCAAGGAGGAGAAGGCUGACCCUGAGGGGAGCCAGAAGCCUAGCAAGCGCCUGCGAGGGGACGACGACUCGAUCAACUAG
rnacentral:rRNA from 1 species